UGGUGGGCCCCACUUACACGGUAAAUAUUUAUUUUACGAACGCGUUUUCGUCUGAAUUAUUUAUUGGGUUAGAAAAAUCUUCUUUCUCUCAACUUUUUAUCUUCAGUAUCCCUUCGGCUUCUUCUCUUUCUCACGGAUGAAACAUAGACUGCUAGGUUACAGAGAAGUAGAUGAAACACAACAAAACAACAGAUUUCAAGCAAAAAGAUUUGGAACAUAGGGAAGUACACGAAGGAGGCUACUCCUCGACCUCCGAUAGAGGGUGUUUACCGAUAUUGAAUCUUGCCAGAAAUAUUUAUUUCUUUAGAUUUUAUCUUUGUUUUCUAAUUACUUGCAGCUAUGUUUAUAUUUGAGAUCCAAUACGAACUAAGAUCAAAUAACCUACAAAAUCUGCAGGAAAACGCAAGUGAUCUGACUGUGGUAGGCAAGACUUUUGAUCGUCCCGACAAUGUUCUUUUGAGGUAAGUAAACACUAAAGACCACUAUGCUAAACCAAGGUUUAUAUUAACUGAAAUCAAGAUAAAAACUCAUGGAUCUUAUGGGGGAAACUGAAAAUAGGUACAUAGACCAUGGUGUGAAUUGUGAGGCAUUGAGAAACACAUGUCUAUAAUCUUGCUUAGCAGUUCAAAAGCUUUUGAAAAUCAUUUUUUGAAAAUCAUUACGCAUCAGCUAAUGAGCAGCCUAAACUACAGAUUAAUGAUUAUCCGACGUCAUUGUUCUACUACAUAUCUGGUGAAAAAGAGAAGCAAGUAAUAUUCAUUGAGCUUCACUAGCUCAAGUCCUUAUUGCCUUCAUAACAAGAUUAAUUUGCAGUUAAAGCUAUCAACGGAAUUGAGUGCCCAUGACAUGACUUAUUCAUCAACAAGAGGUUUUUCAUUACAUGAUUCUUAUAUUUCACUCUUUCAAAGGUUUUUCCAGAUCUGAGAGACUUUGAAAGACUUCUCAGAAGACUCUUACAAGACUCUCGGAAGACUUCUCAAAAGCUUUCUUAGAAAGUCUUCUAAUGCAUUUAUGCUAGAAGACUUCCCACGAAGUCUUCUGCCUAAAGUGAUUUUUCAGAUCUGAGACAUAUUUUGGAAGACUUCUGGGAUAAUUCUUGGAAGACUCUCUGAAGACUCUAUGAAGACUCUCGGAAGACUUCUUGGAAAAUCUUCUAAUGUAUUUUAUGCUACAAGACUUCCCACGAAGUCUUCAGAAAGUCUUCUGCUCAAAGUGGUACAAAGAGAUGAUGUGAAAUGGAGUCCAAGUUUAUCUAUGUUGAGGAACAAUAUCUAGAUGUGUAAUAAUUUUGUUUAUGGUUUUUUAAUGAUUUGUAUGUGUAUACUUCUAAACAGGUUAUUUUUGAAUUUGACCGAAGUUAGUCA